rnacentral:rRNA from 1 species
UACGUAGGGCGCAAGCGUUGUCCGGAAUUACUGGGCGUAAAGCGUGCGCAGGCGGCUUUGCAAGACAGAUGUGAAAUCCCCGGGCUCAACCUGGGAACUGCAUUUGUGACUGCAGGGCUGGAGUACGGCAGAGGGGGAUGGAAUUCCGCGUGUAGCAGUGAAAUGCGUAGAUAUGCGGAGGAACACCGAUGGCGAAGGCAGUCCCCUGGGCCUGUACUGACGCUCAUGCACGAAAGCGUGGGGAGCAAACAGG